GUUCCCAUACCGAACACGGAAGUUAAGCUCUUUAGCGCCGAUGGUAGUUGGGGGCUUCCCCCUGUGAGAGUAGGACGUUGCUAGGC
rnacentral:rRNA from 1 species